AUUCCCAAAUAAACCAGAAAUGACAUUUUUGAUGACAAAAAAAGAGAUGGCCCAGGCACGAAGGACAUUUGCACAGACAAUACUUGAGGCCUCAGUAUUUGACAGUGACACCAACUGUGCCAUGUGUGCAACGGAGAAACCACCCAAUCCAGGACCCUCCAUCACUGACUGGAUCCAGUGUGAUAACUGCAACUGCUGGUUCCAUUCUGAAUGCCUGGACAUGACAAAUGAACAGCUCAGCAGCGCUCAGAAGACAGAGUGGAAGUGUGUGCUUUGUGUAACCUAAUUCCACAUGCAGUGAAAGCUACUUGAAUAAUCUGCUUAUAGUUAUUAUUGGUGUUUUGAGGAACACAUGUGUAAAACACAAUGUGUAUAACAUUCUUGCUUUGUGC